rnacentral:rRNA from 1 species
CCUGGCGGCGGCCUACACAUGCAAGUCGAGCGGAUGAGAGGAGCUUGCUCCUUGAUUCAGCGGCGGACGGGUGAGUAAUGCCUAGGAAUCUGCCUGGUAGUGGGGGAUAACGUUCCGAAAGGAACGCUAAUACCGCAUACGUCCUACGGGAGAAAGCAGGGGACCUUCGGGCCUUGCGCUAUCAGAUGAGCCUAGGUCGGAUUAGCUAGUUGGUGAGGUAAUGGCUCACCAAGGCGACGAUCCGUAACUGGUCUGAGAGGAUGAUCAGUCACACUGGAACUGAGACACGGUCCAGACUCCUACGGGAGGCAGCAGUGGGGAAUAUUGGACAAUGGGCGAAAGCCUGAUCCAGCCAUGCCGCGUGUGUGAAGAAGGUCUUCGGAUUGUAAAGCACUUUAAGUUGGGAGGAAGGGUUGUACGUUAAUACCGUGCAAUUUUGACGUUACCGACAGAAUAAGCACCGGCUAACUUCGUGCCAGCAGCCGCGGUAAUACGAAGGGUGCAAGCGUUAAUCGGAAUUACUGGGCGUAAAGCGCGCGUAGGUGGUUCAGUAAGUUGGAUGUGAAAUCCCCGGGCUCAACCUGGGAACUGCAUCCAAAACUGCUGAGCUAGAGUACGGUAGAGGGUGGUGGAAUUUCCUGUGUAGCGGUGAAAUGCGUAGAUAUAGGAAGGAACACCAGUGGCGAAGGCGACCACCUGGACUGAUACUGACACUGAGGUGCGAAAGCGUGGGGAGCAAACAGGAUUAGAUACCCUGGUAGUCCACGCCGUAAACGAUGUCAACUAGCCGUUGGGUUCCUUGAGAACUUAGUGGCGCAGCUAACGCAUUAAGUUGACCGCCUGGGGAGUACGGCCGCAAGUUAAACUCCAA